CAAAAAAAGUCUUUGAAACCAUUUCGAAAUCAUUAAAAAAAAAAGAAAAACUAAAGUCGGAUCCGGGUCUUGGCCCAAAGCCCAGGUGUUGUAUCCGUUUCCCCCACUACGGAGAAAUGAACACUCCAUUUGCAUUUCCAGACCUUAACCUCGCUCCCCGCGUAACCUCCUCCUCCGCCACCGUGAUGAUGUCACUGCCUCCGAAACUCCACGUCAAGUCCGAACCAAUUGACGAUCAUGCCCCUCCUCCUAGUGCCACUCCCACUCCCUCCGAUAUCUACGCCGAGUACUUCAGCCUCUGCGAACGUGUCGCUUCCGCAUUGGCCGAGCGUAACAACCACCUCGCGAUCGUCCCCGUACCGGACGAAAAACCCCUCCUCCACCACCACCACCACCCUCCGCCGUCGAUCCAAACCCCGCCGGGAUCCGGAGACAACCGCGCUCUCUCCUCCCCCCUCCCGCCGAGGUUCCAGAGACCGCACGAGCUCGCGAGGGUCGCCUUCCAAGGCCCCGGAGACCAAAAACACCACCGAGCGAUCCUGAAACGAUUCCUAGCGAUCUACGACUCCCUCCGCCGCCAUCUAACAGCCGAGGAGAUGCGUCUCCCCGGUCGCCGCCGCAAACCUAGAGCCGAUUACACUGCCUCGAAUCUCAUGAAGGAGCGCGGAUUGUUUCUGAACCAGGACAAACACGUCGUCGGUUCGAUCCCCGGCGUCGAGAUCGGAGACACGUUUCUCUACCGUCUCGAGCUCUGCGUGAUCGGCCUACACGGCCAGCCGCAAGCCGGAAUCGACUUUUUAACCGCCGAACGGAGCUCCAACGGCGAGCCGAUAGCCACCAGCAUCAUCGUCUCGGGCGGUUACGAGGACGACGAGGACACAGGGGAGGUUCUUGUUUACUCAGGGCACGGCGGGCAGGACAAUAAACACAGGCAGCAUCAGCACCAGAGGCUGGAGAGUGGGAAUCUCGCGAUGGAGAGGAGUAUGCACUACGGUAUCGAAGUCAGGGUGAUUCGUGGGUUUAAGUAUGAUAACGCAGUUAGCUCGAAGGUGUAUGUGUACGAUGGGUUGUAUAGGAUUGUAGAGUAUUGGUUUGAUGUAGGGAAGUCAGGGUUUGGGGUGUUUAAGUUUAAGUUGGUUAGAAUCGAAGGACAGGGUGAGAUGGGGAGUAGGAGGAUGAAGUAUGCGCAAGAACUUAGGACGAGGCCGUUGUUAAUUAGGCCUAAUGGGUAUAUAACGUUUAAUCUUUCUGGUGGUAAGGAGAGUGUUCCGGUUUAUCUGUAUAACGACAUUGAUUUCGACCGUGAGCCGGAAGGGUAUGACUAUAUUGCGAGAGCUGCGAUCAAUAGUGUGAUUUCAGGUCAGCAGCACGGAGGAGGGGUUAACCGGGGUUGUGAUUGUAGAUAUUCGUGUGGUAAUGAUUGUUUUUGCGCGAGGAGGAAUGGUGGUGAGCUUCCUUAUGAUGGUGACGGGACGCUGCUGAGAGGGAAGCCUGUGGUGUUUGAGUGUGGGGUUUUGUGUGGGUGUGGUCCGAGCUGUCAGAACCGGGUGACGCAGAAAGGGUUGAGUAAGAGGCUGGAGGUUUUCAGGUCGAGGGAAACAGGUUGGGGUGUUAAGACGUUGGAUUUCAUACAAGCCGGGGCCUUCAUCUGUGAGUAUGCUGGGGUGGUUCUUACGAAAGAACAAGGUGAGAUUGUAUCGAUGAAUGGGGAGCCUCUGGUCUAUCCGGGUCGGUUCGCUGAGAAAUGGAAGAUUUACGGUGAUUUAUCUCGAGUUUACCCGGAGUAUGUUCCGCCGAGGUAUCCUUCUCUUCCGCCGGUUGAUUUUGCAAUGGAUGUGUCCAAGUUAAGAAACGUGGCUUCUUACAUUUGUGACAGCAAAGAACCAAAUGUAAUGGCGCAGUUUGUGUUACAUGACCAUAGUAACUUGAAGUUCCCUCGGGUCAUGCUUUUUGCUUUGGAGAAUAUCUCUCCGUUAACAGAGCUAAGCCUGGACUAUGGCUUGGACGAUAAACUGAAAGAGGAGCGGCUCGCCAUCUGUAAUUGAGUUGUUGUUUCCAUAGCAUGUUUCUGUACUUCUUUUUUUUUUUUGUUGUAUUUGUAUCUUACAAAGAUAGCCUCAAAGGAUUCGUUUUUUGGUGGAGAUGUUGAGUCUUCCCUUCUUUCUGUGAUGAUGUAUGCAAGGCAAGAACAGGAGGCGUAUGCGUCUAUUUUUCAGGUGUAGCUUCUGUCCUCUUUUGUCAGUGUACCUUAUUGUAUUGUGAUGGAGCAGC